GACGAACGCUGGCGGCGUGCUUAACACAUGCAAGUCGAACGGAAAGGCCCUGCUUUUGUGGGGUGCUCGAGUGGCGAACGGGUGAGUAACACGUGAGUAACCUGCCCUUGACUUUGGGAUAACUUCAGGAAACUGGGGCUAAUACCGGAUAGGAGCUCCUGCUGCAUGGUGGGGGUUGGAAAGUUUCGGCGGUUGGGGAUGGACUCGCGGCUUAUCAGCUUGUUGGUGGGGUAGUGGCUUACCAAGGCUUUGACGGGUAGCCGGCCUGAGAGGGUGACCGGCAACAGUGGGACUGAGAUACGGCCCAGACGCCUACGGGGGGCAGCAGGGGGGAAUUUUGCACAAGGGGCGGAAGCCUGAUGCAGCAACGCCGGGGGCGGGAUGACGGCCUUCGGGUUGUAAACCGCUUUCGCCUGUGACGAAGGGGGAGUGACGGUAAGGGGUAAAGAAGCACCGGCUAACUACGU
rnacentral:rRNA from 1 species